rnacentral:rRNA from 1 species
CCUACGGGUGGCAGCAGUGAGGAAUAUUGGUCAAUGGCCGAGAGGCUGAACCAGCCAAGUCGCGUGAGGGAAGACGGCCCUACGGGUUGUAAACCUCUUUUGUCGGGGAGCAAAGCGAACCACGUGGGGUUCAUUGAGAGUACCCGAAGACAAAGCAUCGGCCAACUCCGAGCCAGCAGCCGCGGUAAUACGGAGGAUGCGAGCGUUAUCCGGAUUUAUUGGGUUUAAAGGGUGCGCAGGCGGAGGUGCAAGUCAGCGGUAAAAUUGCGGGGCUCAACCCCGUACUGCCGUUGAAACUGCAUCCCUUGAGUGCGAGAGAAGUAUGCGGAAUGCGUGGUGUAGCGGUGAAAUGCAUAGAUAUCACGCAGAACUCCGAUUGCGAAGGCAGCAUACCGGCGCGCAACUGACGCUCAUGCACGAAAGCGUGGGUAUCGAACAGGAUUAGAUACCCUAGUAGUC